AUAUCAAUAAGCGGAGGAAAAGAAACUAACAAGGAUUCCCCUAGUAACGGCGAGCGAAGCGGGAAGAGCUCAAAUUUGAAAGCUGGCGUCUUCGGCGUCCGCGUUGUAAUCUCGAGACGUGUUUUCCGUGCGGCUCUAUGGACAAGUCCCUUGGAACAGGGCAUCGUAGAGGGUGAAAAUCCCGUACUUGCCAUGGAAGUACCGUGCUUUGUGAUACACGCUCCAAGAGUCGAGUAGUUUGGGAUUGCUGCUCAAAGUGGGUGGUAGACUCCAUCUAAAGCUAAAUAUCGGGGAGAGACCGAUAGCGAACAAGUACCGUGAGGGAAAGAUGAAAAGCACUUUGGAAAGAGAGUUAAAAGUACGUGAAAUUGUCGAAAGGGAAGCACUUGAAGUCAGCCAUGCUGCUUGAGACUCAGCCUGGCUUUUGCUUGGUGUAUUUCUCGGUAGCAAGCCAGCAUUGGUUUGUGUCGUCGGAGAAGCGUAUGGGGAAUGUGGCAUCCUCGGAUGUGUUAUAGCCCUGUGCAGGAUACGACGACGUAGACCAAGGAACGCAGUGUGCCCUCUGGGCGGGUCUUCGGACACCUUCACACUUAGGAUGCUGGCGUAAUGGCUUUAAGUGGCCCGUCUUGAAACACGGACC
rnacentral:rRNA from 1 species